rnacentral:rRNA from 1 species
CCCUUAGAUGUUCUGGGCCGCACGCGCGCUACACUGAUGCAUUCAACGAGCACCCGCUGGGCCGAGAGGUCCGGCUAAUCUUUGAACGUGCAUCGUGCUGGGGAUAGAUGAUUGCAAUUAUUCAUCUUCAACGAGGAAUUCCUAGUAAACGCAAGUCAUCAGCUUGCAUUGAUUACGUCCCUGCCCUUUGUACACACCGCCCGUCGCACCUACCGAUUGAAUGGUCCGGUGAAGCGUUCGGACCGUGGCCUUUGGACGGUUCGCCGUCUGUUGGCUGCGGGAAGUUCGUUAAACCUUAUCAUUUAGAGGAAGGAGAAGUCGUANCA